rnacentral:tRNA from 1 species
GUGGCUGUAGCUCAGCUGGUUAGAGCGCCGGAUUGUGGUUCCGGAGGUCGUGGGUUCGAAACCCAUCUGCCACC